rnacentral:rRNA from 1 species
UACGGGGGGGGGCAAGCGUUGUUCGGAAUUACUGGGCGUAAAGGGCGCGUAGGCGGCCCGCUAAGUCGAACGUGAAAUCCCCGAGCUCAACUCGGGAACUGCGUCCGAUACUGGCGGGCUUGAAUCCGGGAGAGGGAUGCGGAAUUCCAGGUGUAGCGGUGAAAUGCGUAGAUAUCUGGAGGAACACCGGUGGCGAAGGCGGCAUCCUGGACCGGUAUUGACGCUGAUGCGCGAAAGCCAGGGGAGCAAACGGG